GUUGUACCAGGCUGGGCAGUGGCUUUCUGACGUAGAUAAGUAUAGGCUUGGAGAUAGGCUGAGACCACCAAAACUACUAGUGUGGAAAUUGUGCCAGGAUCUAUCAGAACUGGGUUUGUGCAGCAGUUUCGCAAUGGUCUGGUGCAGGAAACAAGAAUGUAAUUCUGCCACCUGAACCCAAAUGCCAGUAUCUGCAAAAGGCAUUAAAGGAUGUGUCUUUUUGGCUACUGCUCUGCUGGAGCUGAAGCUUUCCCAAAACUCACAGCUAAGCAGUUCAGUGUGUGUUGUGCGGGACAGCUACAGAAUUCCAAUUACUGCAACGUACAGCUUAUUAGACACCAGUUCAUACCGAUCUGCUCAUCAAAAACACUUCUCCACCAGCAAUCAUGUAGCUCUGCAGCUCCAGUGUAACAUGACCCAGCCUCACAGAUCUGUGAAGUAUUACCUGGAAUAUGUAUUCUGCCCUGACAUGGAGGGCAUUUGCUCCUUCUUAAACUUUAUGAUUUGAAAUCCUUGCCAUGACGAAAGGAAAAUCAGAAAAGUUAAAAGGAAGACUUCUGUGUGUGUGUUAAAAAAAAAAGUUAUAGAUUAAGUCGUCUAUUACUUUUUUUCUUAUUGAACAUAUAUUUCAAUGAGAAUUCACUUGUCACUUUGAUAUCUAAAAAAGAGACAGGACAAAGUUG
rnacentral:lncRNA from 1 species